rnacentral:lncRNA from 1 species
GAAUGUGCUACUUGAAUGGGCCGCACGAUUUAUACUUAGAGAAAAUUGAGUUGCCUGUUAUUUGGCGAGGAAUGAGUGAAAUAAAGGACUACAUUUUCUGUUUUAGCAUUUGUUUCAACAUUUACAUUCUGACCAUACAUGUAAAUUGCGUCCACUUUCAUUUACGAUGCACAUACAAUGAUGUCGCCUUCCUGUUUAAGUGAGUGUAUGGAUAUAUUUGCAAACAAUUAUGAGUGGAUUUAGUCGGGAUAACCCUUGCGACUGUCACGAUUACACAUACUGAUCUCUCAUCAAAUGGAGCACUGGAAUAUACAGUCAGCAGCAUUAAGAGUCAAAGACAUUGUUCCACUGUUAGUUAAGAAAUAAGCACGAAGAGAAAAAUCGAUCAGGAUCCUGAUGGUACUGACUAUGCCACUGAUCACCAGUACUAGUUAUAGAUGAAUUGGGUAGAAACAUGUGAUACACUUAGCCGUGGUUUUUACGACCAGCAAAAUUCCAUCAAGCUUGGGAUGCACAUAAGAUCAGACCAAUAGAAUAAAAAAACCAGGUCAAACUUGCGCUUAUUCCUUUUCGACUAAGGUCAACAAAUUCGAUAUUAGUGUAAAAAUAAUAUAACUAAAUCUUAACCGCUCAAGGCAGAUGUGUUGUACACUAGAAGAGCUCCAGUGAGGAGAAGUCCACCCAAAAGAAGAGCCCAGAUGGCGAGGGCAGGCGUUCCUGCAUAUCAAAUACUCAAUAGAGUCAAGUACAGCACGCUACGCAACCGCAGGAAAAGAUGAGGAUUUGUGCACGAAUUUCAAUGCCAGUUCAGUGGUACAACAGCAACAACAUUAUAUGAAGAUUGGAAAUAAUUUCAAACGCUUUAAUCGAUGAGUUGCUCACCUCCGGCGUAGCUGUCCCCUCCCUUGCUCCACUCAUCCUUAGCAUAAAU